rnacentral:rRNA from 1 species
AUACGGAGGAUGCGAGCGUUAUCCGGAUUUAUUGGGUUUAAAGGGUGCGUAGGCUGUGCGUUAAGUCAGGGGUGAAAUGCCGUCGCUCAACGACGGAGCUGCCCUUGAUACUGGCGUGCUGGAGUACGGAUGCCGUUGGAGGAAUGAGUGGUGUAGCAGUGAAAUGCUUAGAUAUCACUCAGAACACCGAUUGCGAAGGCAUCUGACGAAUCCGUCACUGACGCUGAGGCACGAAAGCGUGGGGAUAGAACAGGAUUAGAUACCCUGGUAUUCCACGCCGUAAACGAUGAUGACUAACCGUCGGCGAUAGACAGCCGGUGGCCAAGCGAAAGCGAUAAGUCAUCCACCUGGGGAGUACGGCGGCAACGAUGAAACUCAAAUGAAUUGACGGGG